rnacentral:lncRNA from 1 species
CUGUGGGUUUGCUGGUUUGUUUGAGAUUAUAUUUUAGAGACUACUUGAUUUAUGCUUAAAAAUAUUUCGAGCAAAUCGAUCACCAAAACUCUAUAUAAGGUAUGGACUUGGGUAAUUCAAUACUCUCUUAUCUUAAGAUUUGGGGUGUCAAACUUAUGUGAAAUAUUCACAAACCGACUAGCUUAGAUCUUGGUCUGAUAAAUAUUAUAUUAGAGAUAUUUCUUCUACCUUCUUGAUGGACA